UACGAAGGGGGCUAGCGUUGCUCGGAAUUACUGGGCGUAAAGAGCUUGUAGGCGGUUUGUCGCGUCUGCUGUGAAAUUUCGGGGCUCAACCCCGAACUUGCAGUGGGUACGGGCAGACUAGAGUGUGGUAGGGGAGACUGGAAUUCCUGGUGUAGCGGUGAAAUGCGCAGAUAUCAGGAGGAACACCGGUGGCGAAGGCGGGUCUCUGGGCCGAUACUGACGCUGAGGAGCGAAAGCGUGGGGAGCGAACAGG
rnacentral:rRNA from 1 species